rnacentral:rRNA from 1 species
AUACGGAGGGUGCAAGCGUUGUUCGGAAUCACUGGGCGUAAAGGGCGCGCAGGCGGUUUGGUAAGUCAGAUGUGAAAGCCCACGGCUCAACCGUGGAAGUGCAUUUGAAACUGCCAGACUUGAGUACCAGAGGGGAAAGUGGAAUUCCCGGUGUAGAGGUGAAAUUCGUAGAUAUCGGGAGGAAUACCGGUGGCGAAGGCGACUUUCUGGCUGGAUACUGACGCUGAGGCGCGAAAGCGUGGGGAGCAAACAGAAUUAGAAACCCUAGUAGUCC